rnacentral:rRNA from 1 species
AACUUUCAACAACGGAUCUCUUGGCUCUGGCAUCGAUGAAGAACGCAGCGAAAUGCGAUAAGUAAUGUGAAUUGCAGAAUCUAGUGAAUCAUCGAAUCUUUGAACGCACAUUGCGCCCCUUGGUAUUCCGAGGGGCAUGCCUGUUCGAGCGUCA